GGGCGGUUAGCUCAGUUGGUUAGAGCGUCUGCCUUACAAGCAGAAGGUCAGAGGUUCGAGUCCUCUACCGCCCACCA
rnacentral:tRNA from 1 species